CUUUUUUUCCCUUUUCUGAUUGCUACUACUAUUUUGUUGUUUAUGAGGAUUAUGUUAUUCUUUUUAAUUUUUAGAUUUUUUAUUUCUGUAGCUUGGAUGAGCCCGUGAGGUGGGGUUUCAAAGAUUUCCACUUUAUUGAUGCAAGAAUUGGAUGUUGGGUACUAGCACUUGAAGAUAUAUGCUUUAGAUUGAUCCUUUUACGUGCGAGGUCUGAUAGGAGUUUCUUCCGUCAGGUAAUUUUUUUGUUCUUGUUUUUCUUGCAAAUUCUAUUUGUCUCUGUCUUUCAGUUUUGCUAUAUUUGUCAUUCUUUAUUGACUUCCUUUUAUUUUGUUUUCUUUUCUGGGUGCUGAGCUGUGUGUUAGGUUGAGCAAUGUAUAAAUGAGGAGAAAGCAAGAGCUUGUCAUUUUCUCUGCUCACCUUCAAUUGAGAAGAUGUUGUGGUAAUGCCUACAGUUAUAGAAAUAAUAGUAGAUAUACCUGAGGAUUCACAAGUGACACUUACAGGGAAUAUCGACGAACAAGAUUUUGGAUGCGAGAAAGCUUUUAAGGGUCCAUGUUCAGACAUGCCAUCUAACCAAUUACUCCAUGUCUCACGUGAACGUUGAAUUGAGUGAUCGUGUCGCUGGGCGGCUAAGAGGAAAGAAUCUGUUGUCCUGCCUGUGUGACACAUUCAUGUUUUCUGAUUAGGAAUGCAGCUCAAUGUUAAAUUGAUUAUUGUAAUUUUUAUUUUUUUUUAGCCUU